AGCAUAGAGGAAUUUGCACUCUAACACAUGCGUCCUUGUUGUACUUAUCCUCACUCACUCACGAAGGAAAAAGAAGCAUAGAGGAAGUGACGCGAGAAUCGUAGAGAGAGGAAGAAGAAGAAAAAGAAGAAAGGGAGAAGAGAGGAAGGAGGAGGGUGCAGCGGCUUCCCUUGUCGCCGCUGCCAUUGUUAAGUCCAGAAAGAGAAAGAGAGAAAGGAUGAGAGAUAGAGAGACAGAGAUGCGGAUUGAGGGGAACGACAAAAGGUGAGGGAAUGAAGAUGGACGAGGGUGCGGCGGUCUCCUUCGCCGCCGUUGUCACCGCCGGGACCGCGUUGAAAGAGUUGCAAAAGGGAGGAGAAAACCGAACUUGUGGGAGAACGAGAAUGGGUUUCAACAGGAAUAAGAGAGGAGAAAGGGGUCCUCCAUCGCUGCCACGGUCGCCGAGGAGUCGUAUGCCGCCAUUGGAGUCGCCGUUCUGUCACUGUCGACUUUGAAAGGAGAUGCCACUGCUGUUGUCUCCGAAAGCACCAUCCUCCCUGUUCUGGUUCCAAUUCCUCCAUUCCUGAAACUCUGCUACUGGUUCUGCUUGGAGGUUGCUGCUGACUGAUUGAUAGUGGAAUGAUGAAGUUGCUAUGUUGAUGGUACAUUCUAGCUAGCCGCUACUGCCACGAUUCCAUCUCCGAUUUCUUUUAAUUUCGACAAAUUGAGGGAUGGUGAUUUUGUCUCCAUUAAGCAAAUCCAUGUGUAGCCCACCCGCAGACUGGUUGCUCCCAGAAGAAGGCAGUUCUAUCUCCUCCGAAUCCUCCUCCUCAGAAUCCUAUGGGACCUCUGUCCCUCCAAAAGAACUGCUACUGUCAUUUUCGCUUACUAGCAGAGGUCUGUUGGUGUGGACUAGCACUAGAGCCUCACCCAGUGGUUCGUAUUGGGCCUGUAGCUGCUCCGCGGGAGAAAGUGGUGCCUGUGACUCUAGAAGUAUAAUCACCUCAAGAGGAAGCUCAGGUAUGUACAUAUCAUCAUAAUCAGGCACAGGUGCCGCCUGAUUACUGGCUCAGCUGGAAUGAUCCGAGUGGGAAAAGGCUGAGUAGGUACAUCCGGGAUGUAACCAUGAAAGGAGAAAGUCAUACAGCAUAUCCGGAUCAAAGUACGAGCUAUCAAGAAAGUAUAGAAAUGGUUUGUCUCGUAAUACGUAUAGUCUGAUGCAAGACUCCCCGUAGUAUACAUAGUAGCUAUUCAAGCUGAAAUUUUCGUACACAUGGGACUGUGACAUCUCAUAGAACAUUAUUCCCGUCUCCAUAUGAAGGAAAAUGAUUGGAGUAAGAACUUGGGAGUUUUCGGUAAGGUUUCGGUGAGGCUCUA